AUGGCAAUGGCUAUCAACGCUGCUUUCUACAUCGCAAAGAUGACUUGGCUAGCUCUCGCUGGUUGGAUCACUUCUUGCUUGACUGUUGCUGAUGAAUUUGCUUCUUCUCUUCGCUCUGGGGAUAUUGGUCCCUUCCAUGUUCUUGUUGUUAUUGAGGGGUUUUCUGGUAAAUUCAAUUACAAGCAAAAUCAUUUGUUUCUCGGUUCUUAA